rnacentral:ncRNA from 2 species
AAUUAGCAUACGAACAAAGCUUAUAUAUAACCAUGAUAUGGAUGGUUGUCUCUACCCAGAGCCCUAAACUCCGGACUAUAAGCAAAUUAAGUCAAUGU